AAGUCGUAACAAGGUUUCCGUAGGUGAACCUGCGGAAGGAUCAUUACCAAAUACUGCUUGCCUGGAUGGAUUCGUCCGUUCUGCAAACAACACCCCCCUGCGUACCUGUACCUGUUGCUUCCGUCAGCCAGCGGAUGCCUUUUGGGGCGUCCCCUCCGGUGCCUGGCCAGUAGUUCAUGGCCGGCUGGGGAGUUGCUGGCGGCGAGCCCAAAAACAAAACACAUGUCAUUUCUCUGCCUAGUCUGAGCUUUGAUGCUACGAAACAAAAACAAGUUAAAACUUUCAACAACGGAUCUCUUGGCUCUC
rnacentral:misc_RNA from 1 species